GGAGGUUACGCCUUCCCUCAUCCCCGGUAGAGGCAGGGCGGGACUGUUGUGGUUGAGAUGAAGGCUAGUAAAUGGUGAAGUACUUCCCGGCCAGAGGGCACCUGCGCUCGGGAGGUUUGGGCGGCUUGGCGUCGGAGGAGAGCCCCACCCGCGGAGGAACCCAGCCUUGCCAACGGAGCUGGCGGAGCUCACUCCUCAGGUCAGGCGGGCGGCGUAGAAAACGCAGCGGAGCCAGGUGAAACCAAGGCACCGCCGUGGCUGGCCCCCGACAGUUCCUCUAGCCGGGAGGUUGGAGGAGCUGAAAACGCCGCGGAGCCCUCGGCCGCCCGAGCAGGGGCUGGACCCCAGCCCUUGCAGCCUCCCUUCUCCUGGCACCCAAGUGCAGUCCUGGCUGCAGAAGGGGCCGCGGGCGCACUGAGUUUCCAACCUCCAUUUCAGCCUGUCUGUCUCAGGGUGCAGCCUUAAUGAGAGGUGAUUCCUAAGCUGCUGGGAACCUGAGGUUGUCAAAGGGGCGGCAGGAAAUGGACAGCAGUAUAAAACCCAGAAGCAGAACUUGAAGGUUAAACCACUAGCCCAUUUCACAGAAUGUUUCAUCCAUUUGUGGACCAAAAGAUGGAGUUGGUUUUUAUUUUUAAAAAGAUAAUGUUAAUGAUCUGAUACCACUACAAAUAUUUACGUGAGAAGAUUCAUGGACUUGUCUUUUGGUUGGACUGUCACUCAUUUCUGAAAGUUUCUUCAGCCACAAUUUCUAUUUGAAAAUUCAAGUAUCAAAGGAUACCAGGUUUAGAAUGGUAUAAUGAUGUAUUUUGUCUGAGGACUGCAAAUUUUAUAGAGACCACAGUUGGAUUCCAGUGAUAUUCUGCAAUCAAAGUGAUUUGAUAAACCUAAUUUUGAAGCAUUUUAUAUUUAUAAGCGACAUCAAAAGAUGGGAGAAAAAAAUGGCGAUGCAAAAACUUUCUGGAUGGAGCUAGAAGAUGAUGGAAAAGUGGACUUCAUUUUUGAACAAGUACAAAAUGUGCUGCAGUCACUGAAACAAAAGAUCAAAGAUGGGUCUGCCACCAAUAAAGAAUACAUCCAAGCAAUGAUUCUAGUGAAUGAAGCAACUAUAAUUAACAGUUCAACAUCAAUAAAGGAUCCUAUGCCUGUGACUCAGAAGGAACAGGAAAACAAAUCCAAUGCAUUUCCCUCUACAUCAUGUGAAAACUCCUUUCCAGAAGACUGUACAUUUCUAACAACAGAAAAUAAGGAAAUUCUCUCUCUUGAAGAUAAAGUUGUAGACUUUAGAGAAAAAGACUCAUCUUCGAAUUUAUCUUACCAAAGUCAUGACUGCUCUGGUGCUUGUCUGAUGAAAAUGCCACUGAACUUGAAGGGAGAAAACCCUCUGCAGCUGCCAAUCAAAUGUCACUUCCAAAGACGACAUGCAAAGACAAACUCUCAUUCUUCAGCACUCCACGUGAGUUAUAAAACCCCUUGUGGAAGGAGUCUACGAAACGUGGAGGAAGUUUUUCGUUACCUGCUUGAGACAGAGUGUAACUUUUUAUUUACAGAUAACUUUUCUUUCAAUACCUAUGUUCAGUUGGCUCGGAAUUACCCAAAGCAAAAAGAAGUUGUUUCUGAUGUGGAUAUUAGCAAUGGAGUGGAAUCAGUGCCCAUUUCUUUCUGUAAUGAAAUUGACAGUAGAAAGCUCCCACAGUUUAAGUACAGAAAGACUGUGUGGCCUCGAGCAUAUAAUCUAACCAACUUUUCCAGCAUGUUUACUGAUUCCUGUGACUGCUCUGAGGGCUGCAUAGACAUAACAAAAUGUGCAUGUCUUCAACUGACAGCAAGGAAUGCCAAAACUUCCCCCUUGUCAAGUGACAAAAUAACCACUGGAUAUAAAUAUAAAAGACUACAGAGACAGAUUCCUACUGGCAUUUAUGAAUGCAGCCUUUUGUGCAAAUGUAAUCGACAAUUGUGUCAAAACCGAGUUGUCCAACAUGGUCCUCAAGUGAGGUUACAGGUGUUCAAAACUGAGCAGAAGGGAUGGGGUGUACGCUGUCUAGAUGACAUUGACAGAGGGACAUUUGUUUGCAUUUAUUCAGAUCCACAUUCUACACAUCCUGCCUAGACGUUCAUCUCUCAUACUUCUCAAAAUAACUCUUGGAUGAAAGCUACCUGUAAAAUGCCAGGUGGUGUCCAGGAAGUAUCAUUGGUUUUAUCGUUGUUGCUGGAAAAUGUAACUAAGAUAUGUCUCCGAUCUAACAAUGGGAAGAUUACUAAGCAGAGCUAACACUGAAAAAUCUUAUGGUAUUGAUGAAAACGGGAGAGAUGAGAAUACUAUGAAAAAUAUAUUUUCAAAAAAGAGGAAAUUAGAAGUUGCAUGUUCAGAUUGUGAAGUUGAAGUUCUCCCAUUAGGAUUGGAAACACAUCCUAGAACUGCUAAAACUGAGAAAUGUCCACCAAAGUUCAGUAAUAAUCCCAAGGAGCUUACUGUGGAAACGAAAUAUGAUAAUAUUUCAAGAAUUCAAUAUCAUUCAGUUAUUAGAGAUCCUGAAUCCAAGACAGCCAUUUUUCAACACAAUGGGAAAAAAAUGGAAUUUGUUUCCUCGGAGUCUGUCACUCCAGAAGAUAAUGAUGGAUUUAAACCACCCCGAGAGCAUCUGAACUCUAAAACCAAGGGAGCACAAAAGGACUCAAGUUCAAACCAUGUUGAUGAGUUUGAAGAUAAUCUGCUGAUUGAAUCAGAUGUGAUAGAUAUAACUAAAUAUAGAGAAGAAACUCCACCAAGGAGCAGAUGUAACCAGGCGACCACAUUGGAUAAUCAGAAUAUUAAAAAGGCAAUUGAGGUUCAAAUUCAGAAACCCCAAGAGGGACGAUCUACAGCAUGUCAAAGACAGCAGGUAUUUUGUGAUGAAGAGUUGCUAAGUGAAACCAAGAAUACUUCAUCUGAUUCUCUAACAAAGUUCAAUAAAGGGAAUGUGUUUUUAUUGGAUGCCACAAAAGAAGGAAAUGUCGGCCGCUUCCUUAAUCAUAGUUGUUGCCCAAAUCUCUUGGUACAGAAUGUUUUUGUAGAAACACACAACAGGAAUUUUCCAUUGGUGGCAUUCUUCACCAACAGGUAUGUGAAAGCAAGAACAGAGCUAACAUGGGAUUAUGGCUAUGAAGCUGGGACUGUGCCUGAGAAGGAAAUCUUCUGCCAAUGUGGGGUUAAUAAAUGUAGAAAAAAAAUAUUAUAAAUAUGUAACUAACGCCUGUUUGUGAAAUUAGCUUAUCAGGCUGAAAUUAAAGCCAUGCAAAAGAAGGUCUAGGUCCAUCAAGGAAAUUCCCCUCCGUUUUCCUUUGUCAUGGGGUUUAUGUUUUAUUUCAGAUUUUAUUUGUGUGACUUAGAAAUUCCAGGAACACAAUUAGGAUAUUUUCAUACACAUAGGGUAUCUUGUUCACUGCUGUGCUACUUUACAUGAGUAGGAUGGAAGUGUAUAUUUUAUAUGAAAUACCACUGUACAAUUUAUAAUUUAUUUACAAAUUAUAUAUUAAGAGAAACAAAUGUCAUAACAGAACUCAGCUGUUUCUAAUUGCUUUUGUGACUGUUACCUUUUAGUUCAUGCCCCCCCAAAGAGCUAAAUUUCACAUUUUUACCUACAAAAUUGAUUUUUAAUUCCUGGCAAAUAAUUUACCAUUAUGAGCUACAAGGUGGGCAACAGCGCCUGAGGAUCUAAUUUUAUGCAUAUUACUCCCAAGUAUUUUAACACUUGUUGGAGAAGCAAUAUCUGGAUCGAUAAAACACUGUCCCAUCAACCAUUUGAGUGGGGAGAGGGAGAAGCUCUUCUGUAAGUAAGAUUCUGGCAAGCUCUUUGAAAUGAGUCUUCUUUCCCACAGAUUUUCUCUACUCUUUCUAUACAAACAGAUAGGAGAAGAGGGAAUAGAAACCUGGAGGAACUUGAAUAUUUUUGUUCUAGAUAGAGAUACAGUUACUGAAAAGGAAACCUAGAAAGUAGUCACACGUUGCUUAUUUAGGCCAGAAGUAAUUGUACUGGGCAAAAAUUUCACUUAAAAAACACAAGAAGUCCAGGUAUGGUGGCUCAGACCUGUAAUCCCAGCACUUUGAGAGGCCGAGGCAGGUGGAUUACUUGAGCCUAGGGGUUCAAGACCAGCUUGGGCAACAUGUCAAAACCCUGUCUCUACAAAAAAUACAAAAAUUAGCCUGGCAUGAUGGCAUGUGCCCGUAGUCUCAGCUACUCAGGAGUGAGGUGGGAGGAUCAUUUGAGCUCAGAAGGUCAAGGCUGCAAUGAGACAUAAUUUCACCAUAGUACUUCCAGCCUGGGCAAUAGAGCAAGACUCUCUCUCAAAAAAAACAGCACACACACACACACACGAAAACAAUUCUGAACUAUGAAAUCUGAAACAGCCCCUUGGUAUCUCCUGGGCAUGAUUUGCAAAUCUUUUUUUUUUACAGAAAAAAGGCAAAGAGUAAGCACUUUGCCAUAGGUUACUUGGCCGUGAUCAUCUAUCUAGUGGAAAAGGGGACUGGGAAGCCCAAGCAGACUGGGAAACCAGACAGCUAGGAAAAGGAGCAAAACAUAGCCCAGCAACCUACAGAUGAAGAAAGUUGAGAAAUCCAUUUAUUCACCAUAGAGACGCAGGAAUUUCAGGCAAUGCACUAAAAUGAAAUGGGGGAAAAAAGCUUGAUCAGUAUGGGAACCAUUUUUGUGCAAAAGGGAAUAUUAUGGAUCAGCCAGUAUUUCUUUGAGCUCUGCCUGUGGAGUCCAUUUGACCUUUAGAAAUAUGAGGUAUUCUGUCAGUUUUAUCUUCUUGGAGAAAUUUCUCCUAAAAUCUUGAUUUGCUUUAGUCUGGACUGGUUCAUAGCCAUCAUCUUCCAUCAGUACCCCAGAGAUUCACUUUGUCUCUUAUGUGGGAUCUGUUUCCAGUUAGAUGCCAUUAUUUUCCUUUUCCUUGGUUUACUCUUCCACAUAUUGGUAAAGCUCUUCCAAUAGCUUUUGGAAAGGAAAAAUGAAAAGUAAAUGUUUUGAAUCUCUGUGUGUUUGACAAUGUCUUUAUUUUACCCUUAUACCUGAUUGCUGUUUUGGUUGGCAAGGUAUAGGAUUCUUUAGUGGUCUCCAUGCCCAGUUUUGAAGACAUCUGCUAGCUUUCAGUGCUGUUGCUGUGGAGUCUGAAAAUCUGUCUUCUGGCUUCCAGGGUGACUACUGGAAAUUGAAUGCCAUUCUGUUCCUUCUCUUUUGCAUAUAUAAUCCAUUUUUAUCUCUCUUGAAGCUUAUAGGUUUAUCUUUGUCUCAAUGUUCUGUCCCUGUUAAGAGUCCAUUUUCAUCCUUUGUACUAGGUGCCUGGUGGGAUCAUUCCGUCUGAAACUAAUGAUUUCCCAUCUCUUCACUGUUUCUGGAAUUCCUGUUUUCCAGAUGUUAGACCUCCAGAAUUUGAUCUCUAAUUUUCCUAUCUUUUCUCUUAACUUUCAGCUCUGUCUUCUUGCUAGGACCUUUUCCUAGGAGCAUUUCUCAAUUUAAUCUUCCAGUUCAUCUGUUGCAUUUUAUUUUUCUAGUCUCAUAUUGUCUCAUAUUUUUAAUUUCUAAGAGCUCCCCUUCUCCGAAUAUUCUUUUUUUUUAAUAGCAUCCUAUUUUGGCUCAUGGUUGCAGUAUUUUAUCUCCUUGAAGAUGUUUGUGUGUUUAUGUAUGUAUAUGCACACACGUAUACAUACACAUACAGGCAUGCAUCUCUGUAUUCUUUCGGCAUAAUCUGUGUCCUCCAGGGUUUGUUUCUUUGUUUCCCCUGUAUGUUUGUUUUGGUCGUUCACAUUAUAGGCUUUCCUCAGAGUUAAUGGUCUUGGUAGUCUACUCAUAUUUAAGUGUGGAACACCAAAAAGCUUACUAUAAGCUGAGAGUGUGGUAAAGGGCUCUUUGUUUUACUAUGACCUACCUGAGCUAUCUUGCUGGGGAACACCCUAAUGUCAGUCUCUUUAUAAAGGGCCUUUCAUUUUGGCCUGGCAAGAAAUACUCUUUCAUCCUCCUGCAUGGAGGGCAAAAAAAAAUUUAAAAAUUGGCUGCUAGGGUCUGUCUGCUCACUUCCCUGUUUUGCAGACCCCACACUCUUCUGCAAUUCAUUUCAUAGUUGUCAAGACUAUACAAAUUGUCCUUUUUAAUGUUCUCUCUUCUGCUAUCCCUAGUUGGCAGUCUUCCUCUUUACAACCUGCUGAAAGUGGAAGACCUCCAGUUUUCCUUUAAUUCCUCAGCAAACCACCAACUAUUAUAUGUCUUUUUUCCAGAACAACUUAUUUUUUAACUAUAAUUAUAUGCAUUUAUGUUAGAUUCACUGAAAACCUCAUCUUGUAUGGUGCUCUGUACCCUAUGGGUGCUAAAUAAAGGCUUGCUACUGGCAACUGGA